UUCCAGCUCACUCCCGUGAGCUUUCCUUCUUCUUCCUCUUCAAAAUCUUCAACAAAUCAAACACAAAAUAUUAUUUUUGUAAUCCCUGGAGCUCAAAGAACCCAACCUUGGCCUUGCAUGCGGUAUCGGUGCAUGGUGCGAGGUCCUACUAUUGAAGCCGAGAGCUUGAGCUCUCCUUAGAUCUCUCUCCCCUUGUUCGCUUCUGCGGGUCCAAGGGUUUCGGUGCUGCUAGAUCUCUCUCAGCGAUUCGAAUCCCUUUCCG
rnacentral:lncRNA from 1 species